AAAUUGAAGAGUUUGAUCAUGGCUCAGAUUGAACGCUGGCGGCAGGCCUAACACAUGCAAGUCGAACGGUAACAGGAAGCAGCUUGCUGCUUUGCUGACGAGUGGCGGACGGGUGAGUAAUGUCUGGGAAACUGCCUGAUGGAGGGGGAUAACUACUGGAAACGGUGGCUAAUACCGCAUAACGUCGCAAGACCAAAGAGGGGGACCUUCGGGCCUCUUGCCAUCAGAUGUGCCCAGAUGGGAUUAGCUGGUUGGUGAGGUAACGGCUCACCAAGGCGACGAUCCCUAGCUGGUCUGAGAGGAUGACCAGCCACACUGGAACUGAGACACGGUCCAGACUCCUACGGGAGGCAGCAGUGGGGAAUAUUGCACAAUGGGCGCAAGCCUGAUGCAGCCAUGCCGCGUGUAUGAAGAAGGCCUUCGGGUUGUAAAGUACUUUCAGCGGGGAGGAAGGUGUUGUGGUUAAUAACCGCAGCAAUUGACGUUACCCGCAGAAGAAGCACCGGCUAACUCCGUGCCAGCAGCCGCGGUAAUACGGAGGGUGCAAGCGUUAAUCGGAAUUACUGGGCGUAAAGCGCACGCAGGCGGUCUGUCAAGUCGGAUGUGAAAUCCCCGGGCUCAACCUGGGAACUGCAUUCGAAACUGGCAGGCUUGAGUCUUGUAGAGGGGGGUAGAAUUCCAGGUGUAGCGGUGAAAUGCGUAGAGAUCUGGAGGAAUACCGGUGGCGAAGGCGGCCCCCUGGACAAAGACUGACGCUCAGGUGCGAAAGCGUGGGGAGCAAACAGGAUUAGAUACCCUGGUAGUCCACGCCGUAAACGAUGUCUACUUGGAGGUUGUGCCCUUGAGGCGUGGCUUCCGGAGCUAACGCGUUAAGUAGACCGCCUGGGGAGUACGGCCGCAAGGUUAAAACUCAAAUGAAUUGACGGGGGCCCGCACAAGCGGUGGAGCAUGUGGUUUAAUUCGAUGCAACGCGAAGAACCUUACCUGGUCUUGACAUCCACGGAAGUUUUCAGAGAUGAGAAUGUGCCUUCGGGAACCGUGAGACAGGUGCUGCAUGGCUGUCGUCAGCUCGUGUUGUGAAAUGUUGGGUUAAGUCCCGCAACGAGCGCAACCCUUAUCCUUUGUUGCCAGCGGUUAGGCCGGGAACUCAAAGGAGACUGCCAGUGAUAAACUGGAGGAAGGUGGGGAUGACGUCAAGUCAUCAUGGCCCUUACGACCAGGGCUACACACGUGCUACAAUGGCGCAUACAAAGAGAAGCGACCUCGCGAGAGCAAGCGGACCUCAUAAAGUGCGUCGUAGUCCGGAUUGGAGUCUGCAACUCGACUCCAUGAAGUCGGAAUCGCUAGUAAUCGUGGAUCAGAAUGCCACGGUGAAUACGUUCCCGGGCCUUGUACACACCGCCCGUCACACCAUGGGAGUGGGUUGCAAAAGAAGUAGGUAGCUUAACCUUCGGGAGGGCGCUUACCACUUUGUGAUUCAUGACUGGGGUGAAGUCGUAACAAGGUAACCGUAGGGGAACCUGCGGUUGGAUCACCUCCUUACCUGAAAGAAGC
rnacentral:rRNA from 1 species